rnacentral:rRNA from 1 species
UGAGGAAUAUUGGUCAAUGGGCGAGAGCCUGAACCAGCCAAGUAGCGUGCAGGAUGACGGCCCUAUGGGUUGUAAACUGCUUUUAUGUUGGGAUAAAGUGCGUGACGUGUCAUGCAUUGCAGGUACCACAUGAAUAAGGACCGGCUAAUUCCGUGCCAGCAGCCGCGGUAAUACGGAAGGUCCGGGCGUUAUCCGGAUUUAUUGGGUUUAAAGGGGGCGUAGGCUGUCUAUUAAGCGUGUUGUGAAAUAUACCGGCUCAACCGGUGGCUUGCAGCGCGAACUGGACGACUUGAGUAUGCAGGAAGUAGGCGGAAUUCAUGGUGUAGAGGUGAAAUGCUUAGAUAUCAUGACGAACUCCGAUUGCGCAGGCAGCUUACUGAAGAAUAACUGACGCUGAUGCUCGAAAGUGCGGGUAUCAAACAGG